AGAGAAAUAGUUUAAAUAAAACACUUGAUUUGCAAUUAAUAAAUGCCCAGCUUUUUCUA
rnacentral:tRNA from 1 species